AUUGUGGUAGAUCAGUGGUUGAGAUGUUGGACUAUUGAUCAAAAGGUCGUAAGUUCAAAUCCCAGCACUG